AAUGUUGAAUAGUUUCCUUCAUUUUUAUAGUAUAUUGUGGUGUUUCACGAGGGAAAUUAAGGCCAGAGCUAACAAUGUUAUCAGAUCGUCAUUUUUAUUACUAUAAUCUUAAACAAGCUAGGAUUUUCUCUAUAAUUUUCAGACUGGAAAUUCCUCCUUAAGCCUAACUAAAAUAUUCACCUUAACCAUGUCAAUCAUACUAAUAAAACCCAAAAGAGAUAAAGAGAUAAGAGAUAAAACUGGCCCAAAAGGCACUCAAUAUCCCUUUUAUAGAUAUUAUAGAGUAGUGUGGGUGUGUGUCUAAUGUAUUUCCAAGUAACUGUUCAAGAGGUGCCUACUCAUACCCUUUCUUUUAAUUCAAGUAG
rnacentral:lncRNA from 1 species